GCCCGUCCAGCCGGCAUGACCCGCUGACUCUUCAUCAGCGGGUCCGGGGUUCGAAACCCUGACGUGGCG
rnacentral:tRNA from 2 species